AACAUGGGUAAAUCUAAUGCUUUCAUUUAGGAAAACGCUACAAAUUUCUGUAAGAUAUUUUCCUUUCUCUUCACUCUUAUCACGGUGAUUAAACAAUCGCUCUCCCUUCCUCUUUGUUUGUCAGCCUUUGCCUCUCCUCCCCAUCUCUAUCUGUUGGCCUCACCUCCUCAUCUUUGCCUCGUCAUUUCUUUCGGUUGACUGUCGUCCUUACCAAGUUUGCAUUUCGAAGAAACCCAAAAAAUUUGGCUUUCCAGUCCUUCAAGGGCUUCAGCUUCGCCUUUUGUAUUCUUUAAAGAGGAUUUAGUUCUAAGUCAGCAAUAGAAGGAUACUGAAUCCAAUUGGAAAACACAGGUUACUAGUGUUGAAGAAAUGCUUUCUCCAGAAGCAUACAUUUUGCUUUAUGAUGUAUGCUAGAUAGAGUAUAGUUUUCAAUUGUAAUAGAACCGUUGUCUUGUAAACAAACCCUCUGAUGUGGAGAGUAUUUUCUUAUGUGCAAUUGAAGCAGUUAUUGCUAAGUUCAAAGA